rnacentral:tRNA from 1 species
GCGGAAAAACUACGUAGUUAUGCGGUUUAUUAUUCCCCUGCUAAGGGAGUAGGCGUCUAAACCACGCGCAAGGGUUCAAAUCCCUUCUUCCGCGCCA